rnacentral:lncRNA from 1 species
AUGUAAAGAAAAGUUAACGAAUUGUUGGUAACAAAUAUUUAUUGUUAAUGGUUGUAAAUUGUAAAAAGUAACAAGGAAUUCACUAUUGUCAUUAUUCCCUUGGCCAGCAUAUAGUUUUGGUGAAAAUAUUACCCAUUUUAAAGCUUUUACAGUCAAUAGCCAGCAAAAUUUUAUUAACUUUACGACUUUAUAUUUUGUCAAAAAAAAAAAAAACUUUACGACUUUAUAAAUCUUUUUGCUCGCUACAUUAAAAUUUUAUCCAAAAUUAUGACUUUAGUUCUUUCUAUGGUUACCAAUUUGAGGCUUUAGUUAAUGUUACAAAAAAAAUUAUGGCUUUAGUUUUGUUUUUCUAAAGCAACAAUUAAUAUUGUAAAGUGAAAGACUCAAAAGUUUAACAACAACAUUUUUAUAGCUACUAGGGUCGGUCCGCCCUACGGGCGGGAUAUACUUUAUUUGUGAUUUCGAUUUUUAUUCCUUUGUAUGAUUUUGUAGUUUGUGUUUUAGAUUUGCAUUUGCAUUUGUAAGUGAUGCGUAUAAUAAUGAUAUUUUUAUAUUAGAAAAUUUUAAGUGAUGAGAGAUAUUACAUUUAUUUUAGUUAAAGUUGGAUGUUGUUUAUUUUUCUAAUUUGUUUAUGUUUUUUUAUUUGUUUUCAAAUACAUUUUCUGACAUUGUACUAUUUUAUUUUAUUUUUUUGUUAUGUUUUUUUUUAUAAUGAACACACAUUUUUAUAUCAUAUGUCUAACUAAACUCUUUUGUUUUUUAUUAGUGUUAUUAGAGAUUAUAAGUUUGUAUUAGCAUGACAUGAUAUUUAUGAUUGAAAUGGUAUUAUACGUUUUCUUAAAUGUUUUCUCAACUUUUUUUAUAUAUAGUAAGUAGAUUUCAGUUUUUAUUGUUGUGGUUAGGUUCAAUACUCAAAAUAUUGAUUAUUUUAUAUAGUUUUUAAACAUUGUAUGUGGGUUUUGUAUUUUUUAUUCUUAUUAAAACAUUUGUAUAUUUAUGUAUUAACAUAUUAACAUGAUUAUUUAUUUUAAAAUUAAAAAUAAACCAAUCUACAUCUUUUUGCUAAUAAUAUAUAAAUAGUUAAUUUUUUAUUUAUUGGUUCAGUAAUUUCACAUUUAUUAGAAUAACUUACUUAUAACUAAUAUUUAAAAGAAAUAAUUGGAUCGACAACAAAUCAAAUUUAGAAUCUAGCUAUUACUUUGUAUGUUAUAACUAUAUAAAUUUUAUGCAUUUUACUAUUUUUAAAAAUAUUUUAUUCUGCUAAUAUGAAAUCUAAUUAAAGAUUGAGAGUAAGUGUCGUAUCCAUAAUGUUUACUCAUGGCCGUAACCAAAAAGAAAAACAUUAAGCCCAUAAUUAUUGGACAAAUACAUAACAAACGAAAAUCCAAUAUGAUUUCCAAUUAAAUGAAUCGUAGCGUUCAGCACAAGGGGACACAUGUCAGUCCUUCAGAAAACAAAUUUCCAGCUGAAUAGCUUGGUAGUGAGGCAAACAUAUUUAUAUAUAUAUAUAUAGAUGCCCUUUAAAAAAAAAACAUUUUUAAA